rnacentral:rRNA from 1 species
UACGUAGGGUGCAAGCGUUGUCCGGAAUUAUUGGGCGUAAAGAGCUCGUAGGCGGUCUGUUACGUCGGCUGUGAAAACCUGGGGCUCAACCCCGGGCCUGCAGCCGAUACGGGCAAACUAGAAUUCGGUAGGGGAGACUGGAAUUCCUGGUGUAGCGGUGAAAUGCGCAGAUAUCAGGAGGAACACCGGUGGCGAAGGCGCCGCUCUGGGCCGAAACUGACGCUGAGGAGCGAAAGCGUGGGGAGCGAACAGG